rnacentral:rRNA from 1 species
UUAGCCCUAAACAUAAAUACUUUAAUAACAAAAUUAUUCGCCAGAGUACUACUAGCUACUGCUAAAAACUCAAAGGACUUGGCGGUGCUUUACAUCCCU